rfam:Clostridium tyrobutyricum DIVETGP, WGS project CBXI01000000 data, contig: NODE_12
GAGGACAGGUUACUCGAAACUGCUGUGUAGGUAGAAGUUUCAAAUCAUUGAAACCAAGGUGUUGUUGUCAAAAGCAGUGGUAUUGAACGUUGGGGAAAAGGCAAAACAGACAAUUUCGUUAGA